GGAAGAAGAGCAAAAGUUAUGAAAGUCUUAUCUAAAGCAUAUUAUUUUCUUAUAGGAUUCUAAUAACUUUUAUUUUAUUUUAUUAUAAUAAAAAAUAAUAAUAACAUUAAUAUUCUUUUUAUCAAUACAUCUCUCUUAAUUAUGUUAUAUUUUUUUCAUACAACUUAUAUUAAAUAUGAUAAAAGUUACUCAUAUGCAUGUCAAUUUAUUAAAC
rnacentral:lncRNA from 1 species